UCAUUCGUUCUGAAGAUGUCAUGGGGGUUUUGGAAUGUGUGUCCAUAACUUCCUGGUUUUCUCGCAUUUUCCAGCCCACCUGGCUAACGCAUCAUGGAGUGACGUGGGCGUGCCUCGGAUCCCCACAUUCCUCGCUCUUCAGGCUCUCUCCUAGUUUUGCAUGUGCAUGUAAAUGUUAACGAGUAAUAACCAGAUGGUCCCCACAGGGCAGGCUGCGGGUGAGAUGGAAAUUCUAGCAGGAGAAACCACAGCCCGAACUUUGCCAGUCUAAACCCAUCUUUGGUUUAGUGUAUCAGAACCAGCAAACAGAAGGGGAGAGCGGACUCUAAGGAGGCUCCACACCCCUGCUUUUCAGGAGACAUCACCGGGUGGUUCUUACUCCAGAAUCAAUGGAGGCAAAAAACCGGGAGAUCCCAUAAAUCCCACCGAGCUCAUCACAGCCGCCAAAUUAUGCCCUGAUAAAGCUUUCGGUGGUUAACAAUAUGGCCGUUCACCAGGCGAGGACGCGGCUGGGAGGGGUUUCCGGAGCGCGUCUGGCCCGCGGCGGAGACAAGAGUCCCCGAGCGUUAUCUGAAGGCUCUCUGGCCCUAAUGAAGGGUGAAGCUUUGAACGUGAUUAUUUCUAAACAAAUAAGUAAUACGGAUAAUUUAAAAAUAAACAAAGAUCUGGAUGUUAAAGGCCACUUCUGGCUCAGGACCAAGAUUAACAGCGAGUGGCAAGUUUUUGUGAGAGAUAAUGUCUUCUCACGUAUAAAAGACCGCAUUGAUCUCCUGUAGGUAUUAUCCCGAGAAUGUGCAGUCUAUAUCUGUGGGCAGAGACAGUCUUCCAUCACUUGCUUUAUGGGAAGAGAAUGGUUAUUGUAUCUCUUCCCAUAAAAUAUAAUCUCUUUUCCUCUUUCAAAAAAAAAAAAAAUCUACCUGUUCCUCUGGGAAUUUCCAGUUGUAAUCUGGGGAACUGAACUGAUCUUUUUUUUCUUUUCUUUUGCAUGUGCCAGUAUUUUUAUAUUUGGCUUCUUUACAUUUUCUCAUUAUUCUCUGGAGUCUGGCUUUUCCAGACUGUUAUUUGAGCCGUCUAGAAAUUCCUUUAAAAUCAGGGCCAUUGACACAUGCGUGAUGUGACUGUCAGGUUCCCUGUGACUUGCUGAGGAGUGCCCCUCCCUUAUCCUCCCAUGGGGGCUGGUGUGAGGGCCUGGGACCACUUUGGAGGCAAGGAGAGCUUGCGUGGCAUGUUCCAACAGGAUAAAAAUGCAAAAAAAAAACCCCAAUUGCUGAAGGAAGGAAAUGUUAUUCCUGAGGAUGGGGGUUCUCGGCACUACCUCCGGGCAUCUCUUCAGGAUCAAUGCAGACAGAAGGGCAAAGUCCCUCCUAUUUAAAUGUCGUGCUCUGAGCAGUGGUGGCUCCCUAAGCUAAUGAGUUUGGCUAAGGAGAGCCCAGCAAUGCGGUCCUGUCCAGCCCUUACACACAGAGGUCUGCAAACUGUCCAGGCAGUGCCCCGAGGCCCUGCCUUCACCUCUUUACUGACGCAGACCCUCCCCUCGUCCUCCUUGCCCAAAGCGCCCACCCUUCCAGGGUCAAGUCCCGCACAAGCCACCCCCACACUUUCUGCCCUCUGCACUCCUCUCUUCUCCGAACUCCUGUGGCGCCCCGGACUGUGGUGUCCCGGCCAGCAUAGAUGACAGCCACCUGUCACUGUGGAACCUGGGCUGUGGUUCGGCACAAGCACGGGGCGCUCUCCGCGCUCUCUCUCCACUUCUGCACGGUGCCUGGAGCCAACCAGUGCAAAAUAAACUACAGGAUUGUCCUAAGCCUAAAAA